rnacentral:sRNA from 22 species
CUCACUUUGUGUAAAUAACACACACAUGUCGGCACGUUCGCCGGGGUGCUCCUGAGGUGUUUCACCGGAUGGGGUCGGCGUAAUGGGACAUGUGGAGGCAUAAC